ACUCCUACGGGAGGCAGCAGUAGGGAAUCUUCCACAAUGGGCGCAAGCCUGAUGGAGCAACACCGCGUGAGUGAAGAAGGGUUUCGGCUCGUAAAGCUCUGUUGUUAAAGAAGAACACGUGUGAGAGUAACUGUUCAUACGUUGACGGUAUUUAACCAGAAAGUCACGGCUAACUACGUGCCAGCAGCCGCGGUAAUACGUAGGUGGCAAGCGUUAUCCGGAUUUAUUGGGCGUAAAGAGAGUGCAGGCGGUUUUCUAAGUCUGAUGUGAAAGCCUUCGGCUUAACCGGAGAGGUGCAUCGGAAACUGGAUAACUUGAGUGCAGAAGAGGUAGUGGAACUCCAUGUGUAGCGGUGGAAUGCGUAGAUAUAUGGAAGAACACCAGUGGCGAAGGCGGCUACCUGGUCUGCAACUGACGCUGAGACUCGAAAGCAUGGGUAGCGAACAGGAUUAGAUACCCCUGGUAGGAUAGCG
rnacentral:rRNA from 1 species